AAGCAAAUGACAAAAUGUUAAUACAAGGGGUCGGGUAACACAAUGUAAAUAAAACCAUGUGAAAGGAAAAAGCUUUCCGAGAAAUUGGAAAAAAGAAUCACCUUAUUUGGACAACAAAUGUGAAAUCUAAACACAAUUAACUUUUUUACAGUGAAUCAAAAUAAAAAAAAAGAAGAACACCAUGAACUGAACUAGAGCAGCAUAUGAACCCAGCGCCGACAAGUGGGUCUCGCAUGUCAGCCACACAUCGGCCAAAUACUAUGCAUAAGAAGGUUGAAAAGCUAGAAGUGAAACAAAACAACCAGUAACUCAAUGGUGUCUGCGACAUUGAUAUAAAUUGACGAUCCAGGUCUGAUCCCUGCCCUUCACCCGUUUUCCAAUUAUUU
rnacentral:lncRNA from 1 species